GUGAAGAUUUGGGCAGGCCAUACGGACGCCAAAAAGUGUCCCUGGCCGCCUACACCCACUAUACAUCCACAAACCCGUGUGCACUGUCUUGGAGAAAGGCUUCAGAGAAGUUUUUUGUGGCCUCUCUUGGGGUCUUUCUUCGCUACAACCUCGAAUGGUUAG
rnacentral:misc_RNA from 1 species